rnacentral:rRNA from 1 species
UCCAGACUCCUACGGGAGGCAGCAGUGGGGAAUAUUGCACAAUGGGGGAAACCCUGAUGCAGCGACGCCGCGUGAGUGAAGAAGUAUUUCGGUAUGUAAAGCUCUAUCAGCAGGGAAGAAAAUGACGGUACCUGACCAAGAAGCCCCGGCUAACUACGUGCCAGCAGCCGCGGUAAUACGUAGGGGGCAAGCGUUAUCCGGAUUUACUGGGUGUAAAGGGAGCGUAGACGGCUGUGCAAGUCAGAAGUGAAAGCCCGGGGCUCAACCCCGGGACUGCUUUUGAAACUGCGUGGCUGGAGUGCGGGAGAGGUAAGCGGAAUUCCUGGUGUAGCGGUGAAAUGCGUAGAUAUCAGGAGGAACACCAGUGGCGAAGGCGGCUUACUGGACUGUAACUGACGUUGAGACUCGAAAGCGUGGGGAGCAAACAGGAUUAGAUACCCUGGUAC